GCAACGCGAAGAACCUUACCAAGGCUUGACAUAUACCGAAAACUCAUGGAGACAUGGGGUCCGCAAGGGCGGUAUACAGGUGGUGCAUGGUUGUCGUCAGCUCGUGUCGUGAGAUGUUGGGUUAAGUCCCGCAACGAGCGCAACCCCUAUUGCAUGUUGCCAGCGGUUCGGCCGGGGACUCAUGCGAGACUGCCGGUGACAAACCGGAGGAAGGUGGGGAUGACGUCAAGUCAUCAUGCCCCUUAUGUCCAGGGCUACACACGUGCUACAUUGGCGCAUACAAAGGGUUGCGAUACCGCGAGGUGGAGCGAAUCCCAUAAAGUGCGUCUCGGUUCGGAUUGGAGGCUGAAACUCGCCUCCAUGAAGUCGGAGUUGCUAGUAAUCGCAGAUCAGCAAUGCUGCGGUGAAUACGUUCCCGGGCCUUGUACACACCGCCCGUCACACCACGAAAGUCGGUAACACCCGAAGCCGGUGGGCUAACCCGCAAGGGAAGCAGCCGUCGAAGGUGGGAUCNGUGAUUGGGGUGAAGUCGUNACAAGGUAACCGUAAGGGC
rnacentral:rRNA from 1 species